GACGAACGCUGGCGGCGUGCUUUACACAUGCAAGUCGAACGGACCUUGCUCAGCUUGCUGGGUUUGGUGAGUGGCGAACGGGUGAGUAACACGUGAGUAACCUGCCCCAGACUCUGGGAUAACUACCGGAAACGGUGGCUAAUACUGGAUAUGACAUCCUGCUGCAUGGUGGGGUGUGGAAAGGUUUUUCUGGUUUGGGAUGGGCUCGCGGCCUAUCAGCUUGUUGGUGGGGUAGUGGCCUACCAAGGCUUUGACGGGUAGCCGGCCUGAGAGGGUGACCGGCCACACUGGGACUGAGACACGGCCCAGACUCCUACGGGAGGCAGCAGUGGGGAAUAUUGCACAAUGGGCGAAAGCCUGAUGCAGCGACGCCGCGUGAGGGAUGACGGCCUUCGGGUUGUAAACCUCUUUCAGUAGGGAAGAAGCCCCUUGGGGUGACGGUACUUGCAGAAGAAGCGCCGGCUAACUACGUGCCAGCAGCCGCCGUAAAAC
rnacentral:rRNA from 1 species